AUUGAACGCUGGCGGCAGGCCUAACACAUGCAAGUCGAGCGAGCUGCGGAUGGGUGAGUAAUGCCUGGUAAUUGCCCAGUCGAGGGGGAUAACAGUUGGAAACGACUGCUAAUCCCGCAUACGAUUGGAUUGCCCAGGGGGGAUAAGCUAGUUGGUGAGGUAAUGGCUCACCAAGGCGACGAUCCCCAACUGGUCUGAGAGGAUGAAGAGGAACACUGGGACUGAGACACGGUCCAGACGCAAACGCGAGGAAGGAGUGGGGAAUAUUGCACGAUGGAGGAAACCCUGAUGCAGCGAUGCGGCGAGUGUGAAAAAGGCCUUCGGGUUGUAAAGCACUUUCAGCGAGGAGGCGUUAAUAGCAGACGAAACAUCGGCUCACUCCGGGCCAGCAGCCGCGGUAAUAC
rnacentral:rRNA from 1 species